UACGUAGGGCGCAAGCGUUGUCCGGAAUUAUUGGGCGUAAAGAGCUCGUAGGCGGUCUGUCGCGUCUGCUGUGAAAUCCCGAGGCUCAACCUCGGGCUUGCAGUGGGUACGGGCAGACUAGAGUGCGGUAGGGGAGAAUGGAAUUCCUGGUGUAGCGGUGGAAUGCGCAGAUAUCAGGAGGAACACCGAUGGCGAAGGCAGUUCUCUGGGCCGUAACUGACGCUGAGGAGCGAAAGCGUGGGGAGCGAACAGGAUUAGAU
rnacentral:rRNA from 1 species